CAGCGGUGGUUGUGAGUAACCUGAGCAAGCAGUACAAAGGCAGGAGAGAAGGCUUUUCUCUGAACAAGGGGAGGAAAGAGGCAACGAAGAACAUCUCUUUCUGCGUUCGCAAAGGGGAAGUUCUUGGACUGUUAGGCCCCAACGGAUCAGGAAAAAGCACCAUCAUGCACAUGCUGUCGGGGGACACUGACCCCACCUCAGGCCAGGUGCUGAUGGGGGACUACAGCACAGAGUUCCGUCCGGUGGAGAAUCCUCUGGAGCAUGUGGGCUACUGUCCUCAGGUGAACCCUCUGUGGC